rnacentral:lncRNA from 1 species
AACCACUUGGGCAAAACCGUCGCAAAGUGUAAUUUUUGAAAUAUUUGUGACAGUGGUUACGACGGUUUUAACAACCGUUGCAGAAUUAUUCAUAAAAAAUACCCCUCUUCAUGACUAAGUCACUCAAAAGUCAAAAUGCAAUCCAAGUCCUUCAAAACACAAAAACGCAGAAACCUCAUCUCUUCCAGUUCUAGGUCCAACCCAAACGCAGAAACGCACGCAAACCAAAGAAUCAAAAUCGGCGAAGCUAUGGAGUUCGAGUUGCAAUUCCUUCAACCACAAAUGCCUCCGAAUUCCUAACUCGUUCCAAAUCUUCAUCUUUUAGUCAUUUCAAAUCCCUAACAUGCUCUAAAUCCCUAAUCUCUAAAUCCAAAUCCAAAUCGACGAAGCUUCUCUCGUUUUGUCGCCAAAUCCAAAUCCAANN